rnacentral:rRNA from 1 species
CUAUAGCUGGUUUGAGAGGAUGAUCAGCAACACUGGGACUGAGACACGGCCCAGACUCCUACGGGAGGCAGCAGUGGGGAAUCUUAGACAAUGGGCGCAAGCCUGAUCUAGCCAUGCCGCGUGAGUGACGAAGGCCUUAGGGUCGUAAAGCUCUUUCGCCAGGGAUGAUAAUGACAGUACCUGGUAAAGAAACCCCGGCUAACUCCGUGCCAGCAGCCGCGGUAAUACGGAGGGGGUUAGCGUUGUUCGGAAUUACUGGGCGUAAAGCGUACGUAGGCGGAUUGGAAAGUAUGGGGUGAAAUCCCAGGGCUCAACCCUGGAACUGCCCUGUAAACUAUCACUCUAGAGUUCGAGAGAGGUGAGUGGAAUUCCCAGUGUAGAGGUGAAAUUCCGUAGAUGUUUGGAGGAACACCAGUGGCCCAACGCAGCUCAGUGGCUCGAUACUGACGCUUAGGUACCAAAGUGUGGGGGAGCCAACUUUGAUUACAUACCCUUGGUAAUCCUCAACGGUAAAACUAUGAAACGCCAAAACCUCCGGGGGCCUUGCCCUUUUGGUGUCAAAAACUUAACGGAAUUAACCCAUUCCCCCUUGGGGAGUUCCCGUCCCCAUGAUUUAAAACUCCAAAGAAAUUUGACUGGGGGCCCCCCACUAACCGGGGGGAACACCGUGGGUUAAUU